rnacentral:rRNA from 1 species
CCUACGGGUGGCAGCAGUGAGGAAUAUUGGUCAAUGGCCGCAGGGCUGAACCAGCCAAGUCGCGUGAGGGAUGACGGUCCUAUGGAUUGUAAACCUCUUUUGUCAGGGAGCAAAGGGAGCCACGUGUGGCGUUUUGCGAGUACCUGAAGAACAAGCAUCGGCUAACUCCGUGCCAGCAGCCGCGGUAAUACGGGGGAUGCGAGCGUUAUCCGGAUUUAUUGGGUUUAACGGGUGCGCAGGCGGAAUGUAAAGUCAGCGGUAAAGUUUCGGGGCUCAACCCCGUCGUGCCGUUGAAACUGGCGUACUGGAGUGAGUGAGAGGUAGGCGGAAUGCGUGGUGUAGCGGUGAAAUGCAUAGAUAGCACGCAGAACUCCGAUUGCGAAGGCAGCAUACUGGCGCUCAACUGACGCUCAUGCACGAAAGCGUGGGUAUCGAACAGGAUUAGAUACCCUUGUAGUC